rnacentral:rRNA from 1 species
AAUUUUGGAAAAUGGGGGCAACGCUGAUCCAGCCAACCCGCGUGUGCGAUGAAGGACUUAGGGAUGUACAGCACUUUUGGCAGAGAAAAAAAGGCGCAGACUAAUACCCUGUGCUGCUGACGAUACCUGCAGAAUAAGCACAGGCUAACUACGUUCCAGCAGCCGCGGUAAUACGUAGGGUGCAAGCGUUAAUUGGAAUUACUGGGCGUAAAGCGUGCGUCGGCAGUUUGGCAAGAAAGGUGUGAAAUCCCAUAGCUUAACUUUGGAACUGCACUUUUAACUGCCAGGCUAGAGUAUGUCAGAGGGGGGUAGAAUUCCGCGUGUAGCAGUGAAAUGCGUAGAGAUGCGGAGGAAUACCGAUGGCGAAGGCAGCCCCCUGGGAUAAUACUGACGCUCAGGCACGAAAGCGUGGGGAGCAAAC